rnacentral:rRNA from 1 species
GACGAACGCUGGCGGCGUGCCUAAUACAUGCAAGUCGAACGCUUCUUUCCUCCCGAGUGCUUGCACUCCAUUGGAAAGAGGAGUGGCGGACGGGUGGGUAACACGUGGGUAACCUACCCAUCAGAGGGGGAUGACACUUGGAAACAGGUGCUAAUACCGCAUAACAGUUUAUGCCGCAUGGCAUAAGAGUGAAAGGCGCUUUCGGGUGUCGCUGAUGGAUGGACCCGCGGUGCAUUAGCUAGUUGGUGAGGUAACGGCUCACCAAGGCCACGAUGCAUAGCCGACCUGAGAGGGUGAUCGGCCACACUGGGACUGAGACACGGCCCAGACUCCUACGGGAGGCAGCAGUAGGGAAUCUUCGGCAAUGGACGAAAGUCUGACCGAGCAACGCCGCGUGAGUGAAGAAGGUGUUCGGAUCGUAAAACUCUGUUGUUAGAGAAGAACAAGGACGUUAGUAACUGAACGUCCCCUGACGGUAUCUAACCAGAAAGCCACGGCUAACUACGUG